GUUGCUUUGAAAAAUUGAGACAUUUCACUUCCCUUCGUUUACACGCAAACGGAGAAUUCGCCUCUGAAACCGAUUCUUUCUAAAAACUCCAGCCAGAGUGGAGAUCAUCGUUUGCACGAUUGAACUGAGACAAACGGGUGUUUAGGCAGCCAAUGUCACAGUAUGUGCCAGAGCACGCACCUACGUCAAAAUCCACACGAAUGAUGAUCCUGGCACCAUCCUUGUUCAAAAGAGGAAGAGGAAGUGAUUCGUUGCUGUUGUUGCUAUUUUCAGGAUUACGUGGGUUUGAGCUUCUCGUUACACCGCCACCUGCAGGUUUGGCAUAUAUACAUGGAGUUUUCACUUUGUGCUUUAUGAACUCCAGCUCAGUCGCAUCCAAGACCUUGGCAAAAUCAAUCCAGUCGAUGCUAACUGUGUGAGAGUGAUAACAUUGACAAAGAGCAAUGAAGCCUCAGACUUGAAGAAAAGAAAAUGGGGAAAGAAAAGCGAAAAUGAGAAUCGCGAAAGGUGCGAGAUUCUGCUGAGUGCUGAUGUUGAAAUAAACCUAAUGA